CGGGCGGUUCGCCGCCCGUGACUCUGCGAGAAGUCCAUUGAACCUUAUCAUUUAGAGGAAGGAGAAGUCGUAACAAGGUUUCCGUAGGUGAACCUGCGGAAGGAUCAUUG
rnacentral:rRNA from 1 species